rnacentral:rRNA from 1 species
CCUACGGGUGGCAGCAGUGAGGAAUAUUGGUCAAUGGGCGCGAGCCUGAACCAGCCAAGUAGCGUGAAGGAUGACUGCUCUACGGGUUGUAAACUUCUUUUAUAAAGGAAUAAAGUGAGGCACGUGUGUCUAUUUGUAUGUACUUUACGAAUAAGGAUCGGCUAACUCCGUGCCAGCAGCAGCGGUAAUACGGAGGAUCCGAGCGUUAUCCGGAUUUAUUGGGUUUAAAGGGUGCGUAGAUGGAUUGAUAAGUUAGUUGUGAAAUGUUGCGGCUUAACCGUAGAAUUGCCAUUGAUACUGGCGGUCUUGAGUGCAGUUGCGGUAGGCGGAAUGCGUGGUGUAGCGGUGAAAUGCUUAGAUAUCACGCAGAACUCCGAUUGCGAAGGCAGCUUACUAAUCUGCCACUGACAUUGAGGCUCGAAAGUGUGGGGAGCAAACAGGAUUAGAUACCCGGGUAGUC